GGGCCUCUGGCUCCACAGACUUCUCAAAGGGAAGGUGAUUUCAGGGAGACCUCCCCAGCUUUCCACUCCCAGGGGGGCCUCCGACUGAGCCCUGAGGAGAGAAGGACACCACUCCUGGGAGGUCACACCUCUCUGCCAGGUCAGUGUGGCAGGCACUUUCUUCUCCCUGGUGUGAGAAAGGGAAGGGGGGCGGGGGCAGGUGCUGAAAGGAUAGGAGAGGGAAGAAGGGGUAAGGAAAGAGGAUCAGCAGCAGGAGGGGCCUUCCCAGAGGCCUUGAGGAGGGCCACACUGCAGGCCAGGUUAGCAGAGGCCUCCUGUCUCAUUGGAGGAAAGGAGCAGUGGGGAAACAACAGGUUUACAGAAUAGCUAACAAGGCAGUGACUGCAGACAUGAAGACAAUGCAGUUCAUAUGUCUGUCUUUGAAGCUGACCUAGGCCCCGUGUGCUUUUAAGAAAAGACCCUGGGGAGUGGCAGCAGCAGCAGCCCCCCAGGUGGCCUUUGCACAAGAGACAGGGUUACUGCCUGGAACCAAAGGUCUUUGUAAAGACAGCCUUCCAUCCACCAGCAAGGACCCCCACAGGAUUGUUGGAUGUCCUCAAAAAGAGGAUCACACGGUCAUGCCCCCAAUACGACCCUGUGGAAGAGGGACAGGGACCCAUCAGGCCUGAAUCCAGCUCACAGCUUCCUCCGUUAUCAGGGGUUCAGGUAUUAAGCCAUAAGGAAAAGCCCAAGACUCAAGCUGGACUCAAUGUUAAUCAAAUUGGCCAUUUAUUAUCAGUAAAUACAAAGCAAAUAGUGAAGAGUUUCUUAGAAGAAAGUGUUCUUAUUUGGAUUACCUGGUGGCAUAUUAAAAUGCAGUCCCCACAUCAACUCUGGUUCAUCAGGUCCAGUUCACUCACAAGGCUGCCAGGUGAUUCUGGUGGAGCUGAUUGUGAACCUCACCUGGAAAGUCCUUGAUGAUGGCUGCUGUGUCACUGAAUUGGUUAGAACUUGAGGAAAGGGGUAAAGCGAGCUAAUGGAUCUCUCUUAAUGUAACUCUACCAGUGACCCUUACGUAUUGGAACUGGGACCUUUCCCUCAAUCCACUGGCCCAAGCACUGGGAUGCAGUGUUGGAAAUGUCAUUCUUGGAGAGGAAGAUAUUUAUAAACAAAUCACCUGGUAUGAAACUAUUCUACAGGAAGGGCCACUCCUGAGGAAGGAUUGUGUUUCUUUCCCUCUGUCCUGGCCUCCCGGUAGCACCACAGGCUUGGCCGCCCUUCUGGAGAGUGCGAGAAUGUUCAGUGAACAUUAAAGAGCUCUGCCAUCAUAUUCUGCGUCUGCCUCUCAUGUCUGUCAGAGCGGAAUUGCCUUUUCUGGUCCCCCAUCAGGUCUGGUACUUGGCGGUGAGGAGGUGCACAUUCAUUUAGUCAUUCUGAGAAGGGCAAAAGGGCUUCAACUCUUCAACUUUCAGCUUUGGAGGUAUCAUCAUGGACUCAUCAAUUUUCAUAUAUUCAACGAGUGUGUUGAUAACUGAAUUAUUCUUGGCUCCUGUGAUAAUACUCUUCUUAUCAGAAACCAAUGCAGCCAAAGCUGAGUUUAGUUUAAAACAAAGUUUCAAAACAAGAGUGGUUCCAAAUAUAACCUUCACACAUUCUGGAAAGAGGAAGUACUACUUUCUAAGAGAACGAUGGACAAUAAUAAAUUAUUUUUGUCAUUAUUAUUCACAUUUGCCUUCUCUCCCCAUCUUCACCCUGUGGGAGGAUUCCAGUCUUGUCCCUGAAGAAUGGUCAUGCUCACCAAUUAUCGGCAAGUUAGGUGUGUGUUGUGACUAAUGCAGCACAGAUAAACUCACAUUCAAGGUGAAGAUGUAGUUGAUUGACCCACACUUUAAGAAGCUUCCAAGAUACAAAUUUUUUUUCUUCUUACCUGCAGCAAGAGCCCAAUCUUGGCUCUCUUUCAUUUCUCACCUAACAGCUUGUAGAAACAGAAGGGUCAGAGCCCAUCCUCAGGUGGUUCCCUCAGCAAAUCAUGAUUUCCCCACCAUGGUUUGUGGAAGAAACAGGGAGGAGACUAAGUAUUGUUGUUGUUGCUAAAAUAACUAUUGAAGAGGGUGUAUGUGCACAGUCCCUCCCCUCAUCGUCCCCCGUGGCCCUGCAGGUGUGAGCCAUGAUGGACUCCGCCUGUCUGACUCCUGGUCCCGUCCCUGGACAGCAGAUGCUGUGGGAAGAAGCCAGGGCGUCCCGGCCCCUCACCUGGCCCAGGACCCUGCUUGUCCCCCCUCAGCAGAGGCCCAGGCAUGCUUCCAGGCUACUCCACAACCCUAGUGCUUCACAUGGGAAAUGUGGAAGUUACCAUCAAUCUGCAAGUUUCUCCAAAGGAGGAGCAAAAUUUGCACGGCUUUAAGAUUCACUUUACCUCAAGAGAGCAGAGACUGUAUCUGUUUUCCUCGUCAAUAUGACCCCAGAGCCUAAGAUGGUAUCUGACAGUUUAUAUCAGGUCUCACUAUAUACAUCUGAUGAACAAAUAAAUGAACUUGUUACCAAAAGACCCUAGCUGGCCAUAUAUAAUUUAUGUUUUCUUAGGAUAAAGAACUCCAUGACACUAAUAGUGGUAAAUAACUACCAGAUGGGGAAAUGAAAUGUCUGGCAGUGGCUAGGUACUUAGGCGGCUGUUUUAGACCUCGGUUGUCCCCAAGACAGGCAGCAAUAAAUGUUAUGAAUGUCCCUCAUAGCUUUCAGCUUCUAAAAAUAAAUUGCUUUUUUUUUUUUUUUUGUCUUUUUGCCUUUU